rnacentral:tRNA from 1 species
GGAUUGUGGCUCAGUGAUCAAGCGCUUGCCUAGAAUGUGUGAGGCCCUGGGUUCAAAUCUCAGCACCA